rnacentral:lncRNA from 1 species
CAGGCUAUUCUUUUCUCUCCUUUUAGACAAAAAUUGCUCCAACCCAAAAAGAAGAAGUAAUCAAGUCAGGCUUCACUGAGGCAAAUCAUCUCUCAGACGCCUGCCAAUGCUGUCAGAACCUUUUCUGGUCAGAAAUGAAAUGCCCUGAUGCCAUCUGCCCCUAGAAAAAUCAAGAAGGGACUAGGACAACAGCUCAGACAUGGCAGGAGCAGACUGUAGUGGGUAAGAUGUGGGCAGAGAGCAUAAGAGAAUGUUCCUGGCCUCCCUGAGCCUGGGAGUCCUGUUGGAGAUGGUCUUCCCACAGUGAGCUGGGUCCCUGGGCUCCGAGGCUCACUCUGCAGCUGCGUGGCCCUGUGCAAACUCUGGUUCAGGGUUGUUGAAGAAUCCCGUGACAUAUGGAUGGAAGUGUCAUUGAACACUGUGGGAAGCAAGGUACUGUUAUUCUCUGAGGUAAUACAGCAGGGUCUUUUGAUGCUAGAAUCUCCCAUUUUCACAAUGAGGCAUCUAUUGUCUCAGAAAAUCAUCCCAACAACUCUCUGAGCAGCCAUGUCAGGAAUCAUUUAUUUUCAGAGAUGAAGAACAAACAUGCAUGGAGAAGGCGAGUGACUUUCCCAAGAUCACUAGGUGAUAAAUAGCAGUCUGCACACCCUGUCCUGUUCUUGUUCUGUGGUAGCCAUCCAUGCAAAUUCUCAUGCACAAAAGGAAUAGCUGUGCCCUGGAAUUCCAUUCAUUUGCUGACUAACAGAUUCUUCAUAAAGUUAUUGACCUAAAGACUCGAACACUAGUCUUAAUUUUAGAGUAACUAGGCUCAUUUUCUGUCCUUUAAAAAGAGUGACAUGUAAAAUGACAGGGUUCCCCGAACAGUCUCUGAACUGGGGAUGACUGAGGAGAGGUUGGCUGGACGUCUCUAUGGGUUGCAGGAUUCAGCAGAACCAGAAAGCUUUUUGGAGAAUCCUUUCAAUUUUCCAGCCAAAGUGCCCUGCUAUGCGUAUGACCUUUAUUUCCUAGACUUUUCCAAAGGAUGGAAAAUAUUGUGAUGUCCAAAAAGGACUGAGAUCAUCCAGUGGGGCUGUGAUUGCAGGAGGUUCAGAAAAACUGUGGGCAGACAUGACUACUGAGGAGGUGUGAGGUAGGCGAGCAAGUUGUGGGGUGCCUCGCAGGCCCAGGAAGAAGGCCCAGCCCGGCAAGCAUCCAGAAGGAAGUUCCGGAAGCAGCAAAUGAGAUUCUUCACCCUCCUCUGUGAUGAGGUUAGAUCUCCAAAGCAGGACUUCAACUAAUCAAAGGAAAAGUGGUUAUGAAACAGAAUACCUAAAAAUCAGGCCAAAACUUAGACAAGGAACUAGGAAAGAAAAGAAUCUAGUUAUGGAACUGAGGUACCAGGAAAGACCUCAAUCAAAAAGGUAUAAGUCAACUAGGCACAGUGGUACACACCUGUAAUCCCAGAGGUUCUGGAAGCUGAGGCAGGAGGGUUGCAGGUUCAAAGCCAACCUAUAAGCUGGCCUCUGCAAUUUAGUGAGGCCCUCAACAACUUAAAGAGACCCUGUCUCAAAAAAAAAAAAAUUUAAAUGCUGGGGAUGAGGCUUUGUAGGUAAAGUACCCCCUGAGUUUAAUCCCCCAGGACCCCAGCCCCACCCCACCCCCACCAAAAAAUAAGGAACAAGUCAAGAGCCCUGCUCAGUGGACCAGAGAGAAUGUAAGGCUAGCGCCACAAGGUGACUGAUCUAGUAAAAUGCUGACCCAGCGUCACAUGCCUAAAGGCCUUCAGGUAUGGGGCUCAGGCAUGGCUGAACACAAUGUGGACAGGAGGCAGAUUCAACUUCAGAAAGAAAAAAAGAGUUUAGCUGACCCACAUGAAACUGAGUCUUUCCAUUUCUUAAUUCCCUCCCUCUCCACAUUCACCCUGGGCAUACUCAGAUGCAGGUAUGGAAGAACACACAAGCAUGUUAUUUAAAGGGGCUGGUGACACUUGCGAGGACCAACCCAGAUAGGAGAAGAAUCUGGUCUUUCAUGGAGUCUUGCUGAUUGCUUUUUCAGGUUUCUCAUGCCCUCACUUGAAAGAUUCUAGUUCUAACAUGUCCCAAUGCACAGUUUCAGCCACUGUCACAAAUGCAAUCCCCUAGAGAGUGCAGGCUGAUGAUGUAAAUUAGUAAAGUAGCCCAUGAGAGGCAACAGGGAGUGGUAGAGACUGUGGUAAACUUGAGAGCACGUCUCUAAGGGGACCAUGACGGCCAGCUCUGGCCAGCCAACCAGCCUACCUUCUACUAAGGAAAAAAAGAAAAGCCUAACCUGGGACUCCCUGGGCUAACGUCAAGGUGUCAGUAGGGCCAUGUUCCUUCCUGGAGGUCCCAGGGUAGAACCUCUCCCUUGCUGAUUCGGGUUGCUGGCAAGACCCAGUCCUUGCAGUUGCAGCCAUGAGAUCCCCUUGCUGGCAGCAGCUGAAGCCAUUCUCAGCCUCUCAGAAGCUACCUGCAUUUCUUAGCUCAUGGCCUCCUUCCUCCCCCAUCGUUAGGGUUGGCGAUGGUGAAACAAGCUCCUCUCAUGCUUUGAGUUUCUCUGCCUCUCCCACCAUCACACCUCUCCAGUCCCCUCCUCCGCCUCCCAAAUCCCCUUGUCAGAGCCCUCCUGGAUAAUCCAGGAUAAUCUCUGUUUUUAGGUUCUCUAACCUUGAUUUCAUAUCCCAAAUUCCUUUUUCCAUGUACGAUAGCAUAUUCACAGGUUCCAGGGAUCAGGUAUGGCCACAACAAAGACUGCCUCCUACAGUCCCGAGAGUAACCUUCCUAGAAAAGAGUGUGGAAACUCAGAACCAGGCCUCCGAGGCCAUCCCUGCCUCCUAGACCUUGGGCACACCAUUGUCUUCUUGCCAUGUCUUUCUGAUUAUCCUUUCUCAGUCGCCCUGACUCCUCCCCUGCUUCUUCCUUGAAUAUCAGGCUCCCACAGCUCUACUCUCUAGCUUAUCUUCUUGCACUGCACUGCAUCGAAACCCCUACUCCCAGUUUCUCCUCCAAGCUUAGAAUCCAAAUUUCCAAUUACAUAAUGGGACACUGCAAAUUUAAUAUAUCCCAAACUAGCCUUGGCUCCUUCACUCCCUUUCUCAACCCCAGACAGAAAACAUAAGCAUCUCCUUCAGCCGUCCCUCCCCUCCUGCACUUCAGCUGGGGGAGCAGGAAGUCCUCGGGACUUGGUCUUGGAAGCAUCUCUCCAUCCAAUCCUCCCCUCUGCCUACUGGCACAGCCUAGGUCAGCCCCCAUCCUGUGUCAGCAGCACUGGGAAGUCACCUCCUAAUCUUAGCCUCCUCACUCCUCUCUCUACACACAUCCGACACACUCUACUUCACCCCACACAUCAAGAACCAACUCUGAUCUGUUCCAUGUGGAAGACUAUGUAUCCCCCUUCUUUGCCUAAAUGAACAGAGCUUCCAUUCCUUAUCAGAAAACACCAGGCCAUAGAUAAUGUGACUCUAAUACAAGCUUCCAGGUUUAUAUCUUCCUGUGUCUCUCCCCCUCACCCACACAUCCACACCUCUCUCUCUCUCUCUCUCUCUCUCAUUCAUUCCACUUUCCAGCAAUAAGAGUAUCUAAAAUACCCUUCCAUUAUCCUGGUGACAUCAGCCAUCAGUCAGUAUUUAGCAAUAUGAAAAUUAAUUCCAGUGGAAAAACCACAUUGUAGAAUUAAGCAAACCCGUGAAGUAGUUUUGAGUUGAAAAAAGAAAAAUUGAUCUAUGUCAUUGUUUGACUAAGGAAAUAAAGGAUCACUUGAAUAGUAAGAAUAAGAUUUUUUUCUAAAUCACAUGAUGCAGACCUUGAGCGUUAAUUCUUCAGCCUGAGACUAUCUACAUAAGAAACAUAUGAUAAAGGAGAAAAUAAUAAAAUAUUGGUUUAAUUUGGAGGGAACAAAGAGUAGAAAGUGUGAUUUAUGCUAAUAAUCCAGUUUUUAUGAACAGGGGAUAUAUAGUGAUCUAGAUCUUUACACCCUUAUAGACUUGGAUCAUAUACUUUUGAGGGCAGAGACUGACCUAUUUUUCUUUGUACCUCCAGUACUUAACACAGUACUUAACAUGCAUGUAAUCGUUUUCCCCUCAAAAUACAUUGCAUGCAUAAGUAAAUGAAUUGCACUAGUUGCUGGGAAUGUAGAAGAAGAAACAGAAUAUGAAGUUUAUGCCUUUGGUGACCUUAGACAGAGCUAUUACCAGAAAAUCAAAUCAAUAGUCAAUUACAAUUGUGAUAGCACCAGAAAGAAGAAACAUCAGAUGCUAUUUACUUAAUGAAACUUUUUAAUGUUCCAAUAAUUCUUGAUGCCUUAAGAACUGUUUUACUUUUUAGGAAGCACAAACAAUCCAUUCACACCAAAGAGUGGCAGAAAGAGGGAGAGGAAAGAAGAAAGAACAAGAGAAAUGGAGAGAUCUGCCUCCACCUUCACACGAGCCUUUUCAGAUACUUGUGUCAGAGUGACAUGAAAUCUCCCCCUUUUCUACAGCUGUAGACAAAACAUCUGCCCCUCAUUUUGAGUGCCUCCAACUGUUCCAAGUGUCACCCCUGAGGAGGGGGUGGCCCAUGUCUAUAGUGCUUCAGAGUGCCAGUCCUCACCCCUACACCUCCAGCAGGACUGUGGGUCACUAGCCAAAAUAAAGCACAUCCACACUCAACGCUGUGGGCCUGCCAUCCUCUUCUUAAGAAAAAAGGUGUCAGGGAAGACAAUACGUCGCUUCCCAGGGGGCUCCCAGGAUCAUUUCCAAUUAAGAGAUUAGUGGACUUUACACUUCCCAUCCUGGACCAAGAACACGGUUGGCCAGUCUCCUCCAGUGGCUUUGACACCUGGACUGUCCCCUGACCCCCAUUGGGGCCAGGAGGCUCUGCUGCCACUCCUUCAGAGCUCAAGGUUUUCCUCAAGGCAAGCUGGGUUUAAAUUAAAUCUCUGUGCUUCCCAGUAACUCUGUGAUCUCAGAAUUACUAAACCCCCAUCAAGCCCCGUCACCCUUGUGUGUGAAAUGGAGCUGACAACAGGUACCUCCUAGGGUUAUUUGAGGAAUGACUUGAG